AAUCCUAGCUUCACAAAAUAAUUUUUACGAUUUUAAAUAUAUUUCAAAUAUUGGUUCUCCUACUACUAUGUAGUGUGUGGAGUUAUGAUUGUCAACAAAGCGUCUGAAGUGGGGAUAGGCGGUCCUAACGAAGGACAUUCCUCUUGCCCCUCUUAACGCUCCCGUACCAUCCCGCGAGACUUCUUUCCAACAGUAAACAUCAAGCGAGUAAGCGAUUCGUUUCGAAUUAUCGAUCGAUGCGUUUACAAUGCGUUUAGAAUCGCGUAACGACGAUACGUGCAAAUAAAAAAAAAUAGCGUCGUUUAAACAGGAUUAUAAGUAGAUUCGUUUAGUCACAAAGUCGCUUGUCCAUUCGAAGGGUAUACUCGUUGCGGUAUAAUAAAAGGAGAACGAGGAUAGUGAAGAAAAGAGAGAGAGCGAGAGAGAGACACAGUUGACAAUUUAUAAAAAAUUGAGAAAAGGAGGAAAGAAAAUCGCGACUCGAUUACCGCAGUGUGGAUUAUUUACAAAGAGACAUCGAAGUGUACAUAGAUAAUACACAAUUAAGUAAAUAAACAAAUUAAUAAACAAAUAUGAACGUCGAAUGAUUACCAUAUAAAGAUUCGAUUAUUAGAGAUGUUUAACGAUAUGAGAACGAUCAAUGAUCAACACGUAUCAAUUAUUUUCAUUCGCGACAAAUUAACAUUUAAAACGAGCAACAUUCGAGUUUCACAUAUAUGUAUCAUGUUUCAAAUAGACCUGCCAGUGUUAUUACAAUGUUUCAAAUUUCACAUAUAAUAGAAUUCAGUAGAGAGAUAUCUGACCAAAAUCAUCUCUUAUACUGUGGCCCGUUUGACUUGACACGAUAAACACAUAGGACAUUCGAAGGUUACUCACGAGACACGAAAAAUAAUAGAAGAAAAAAGAAAUGUACAUUUGCUCAAAAUUCAAACAUCUAUUAAAAAACACGUAAAUUUCUUACCACCAUUAUCUAAUUUCUACUUUUUUCAAUACAAAUAAAUAAGUAUUCGCUCGAAUCAAGCAAACGAUAUAUUGUAGUAUACAUAGCUGCGGGACGUUUCAAUUGCAAAUGAAAUAUUCGACCGACAAUUAUCGGUGAAAAAUGGCGUAAAAAAUUCGUCGUUCGUUCAUCAAAGACGGAAACGCCCGGAAGCCUAUUGAGCUGUUUUUUGCAAAAUAUUUACAGACGCGCAUUGCAACAUGUAGAAUUGAAAAAAAAGAAAAGAAAUAGAAAUAGAUAUUCGAGAUAACGCAACUGCAAUUCGAAAGAUAGUGAAUAUAACGCUAACCUCUUUUCCCUGCAGUUCACCAGGGCGGCCAGAUUUAUUCUGCACGUUGUGCGUGGAAAAAUGGAAAAGAAAAAAAAAAAGAAAAGAAAAGAAAAUGAAAUGAAAAAUCGACGAGAAAGAAGGUUUUUUUUUUCGUUUCGAGAAGGGAUUCGAGAUAUCUCUAUAAAGGGGAUUUUUAUCGGAAAGAAGAGAUGGAUUUACAUCUGAUUGCCAGUGUACUCUCUCGAACACGUAGAAACAGGCCUCGAUGAUAGAGAUAGCAGGGAAUGGGCAGCAGCGGCGACAGCUUGAAAAAAUAUAACUAAAAAAAGAUUGCGUAGUCGCAAAAUGAAUAUUAUAUCGGCUUUCCAUGGUGGUAUGCGGCAUUUUCUGCGUUUCCUGCGUCUGGGAAUACAACAUUCGGCUGGUUUUAGUUGAUCGCUGUUAAAUUGCUCUUUUUUUUUAUAUAUAUGUGUAUUUAUAUAUAAUAUAGCUUCAAUUGGGAAUUCGAUUAAAAAAUUCUUCGUGGUUGGAUAAGGUAUAUAAAAAAUAGAAAUAGAAAAACGGAGAAAGAAAAAAAAAAGUGUAAAAGUAGUAGGAGCAAAAAUCGAGGUCGAUGAAGUGAGAAACAUAUAUAUAGAGAGUAUAAAAAAUUUCGCAGGUAAAUGGUGUUCGGGCAGGUAAGCUUUGUGUUAUAGCGAACACAAAUCUCACCUUAGUGUCUAACACCUCGCCGGGGCGUAAUUUUCCCAACUGCAAAAAAUUAUAGAGACGAAAUGUCAGCAUUCUUUUAGAGUUUUUCAAAUAAUCUUCGCGAAAUCUUCUGGUAUCCUUUGCUCUUAACGUGAUAGACCAUAUUUUACAACGCGUAUCCGAGAUAUAUAUUUUUUAAAUUAUACACAUUAUAAAAAGGCAAUGAAGGAAAAAAAGAGAGAAAGAGAGAGAAAAAAUUUUUAGAAGGAGAAAAGAUGGAGAUAUAUGGUGCAGGAAAGUAAAUAAAAAAAGAAAAUAAAUAUUUACCGACCGCUUCGCUGAUAAAUUCAUUCCUCUUUGUUCGUUCGUUCGUUCGUUUUAGCGCAAGCGCCGUUCAAAUCAGAGGACAUACCAAGUUUCGCAUUUCGAGUGUAAAACACAAAUACGUGUAGUUGGUUAGGUUCUAGCGACGCGUGAUUUUGUUUACUUGGAAAGAAUUUAGGAGAAUUAGGAAUAGAACGAUCGAAUUUCUUUCGAGUCGAGUCGUUGAUAAUUCGAUCUGAAAAUCCGUGGCGUGUCCGCGCGAUUCGGCUAGAAAUAAACGAUCGAAUGGCCGCGUUUGAUUAAUAGACGGCAAAGUAUUAAAUGUACAAUAGCAUAAGUCAAAGUCGUCCUUCGCGUCCGGUAAAUUGAUAGUUUUAUCCGACCGUUGGCAGAAAAUAACAAGUGUUCGGAUCGUGGAAAACGUAUUCUCACUUACCAUGUAAACGAUAUAUACGUAUAAUAUACAUACACGAAUACAUAGACUGAUAAUGUUGGAAAGUAGUUGUAGUAGAUGUUUGUCUCUGGUCUAGGCAUUUGUUAACGCCGAUGCGUCUGUUCUUUCGGAACAAUCCUUUUGCCAAAAUGUAAUCUAUGAGCCGUAAUGUAUGUUAGAGGCGAAUACGAAACCUUAUACAUCAAUGAUUUAAGAUUUAAGGUGGAGAAGAGAAUCCGUAUCGCGCCAGACACGUCUCGGAUCGUUUUUUUUUUUUUUUUUUUUCCCUCGUUGUUGUUCUUCGCGAUUUGUUCGAUGUUUUAUAUAUAUAUAUUAAUCAUAUUAUCUUAUUAACGGUAUUAAUAUUAAAUAGUGAUCGUGGAAAAUAUAUAAAGUGGUCAGAGAGAGAGAAUCGGUUGCAACAGAUCCGUGCCAGGUGCAGUGGUGCGUUGGUGCAAUGGUGCAAUUGUGCAUAUAUCCAUGAUCAAUAAUAUAUUAUUAACUCAUGAAAAGAAAAAAAGAAGAGCCGAGGUUUUCUUGAAUCGAUGGAACCUCCGCUUCGGAAAAAUCCGACAAUCUCGCGCUCGAUCUUCGUCGAAACACUCGAAUUCUCUAUUCGAAAUUUAUUAAAAGUAAAUAUAAAUUUUUUCCCGCUUCCGAUUCAUCGAGCACGAGAUGAUCGAAGAAAAUGAAUGUGAAUAUUGUGCUAAAAAGUGAAAAGUAAUCGAGGUGAGCAGGCAGACGGAGUCGAACGAAGAGAUCAUGAUCGCGAAGAGAGUAAUUUUAAUUUUAAUUUCGCUCUUCGUUCGAUGUUCGUUCGAUAAGUACGCGUAUCGUAAUAAUAAUUGUGUGAUACAAGAUAAAAGAAAUAACGUGCGAGAAAAAGAAAAAGAACAAAUGUGAAAGUGAAAAAAAAAAAGAAAUAAGUGCAUUGAUAGUCGAGUAGUAAGGUUGCAGACGAGGCAUUCGCUUUUUUUUUUCUCUCCAUUUCCUCACCUUACGCUCGUCCACCACCUCGCCUGGUCGCAGCUUUCUAUUCUCCUAUGAAUCAAACUCUCCUUUACUAAUUUGUUUGCAUCGUUUCGAAAGAUUUCGUUCUAUCGUAUAUAUAUAUAUCGCUCCUCGAACGAAUUCCUUUUCUUUAGCUUUGCCCCCUCCCCCCUUCCCCCCCUAUUAAAUUACCCAUUUAUUUUCCACGCUUACACAAUUCGGAGAACAAUUUUUCUCGAAGCGUGAGAGAAAGAGAGAAAAGGUUUGUGUUUUGGUAACAAAAGGAAAAAUGAUUUGGUUUCUCAGAAGCUGGGCUGUUUGGACGAUUCACGAAUAGGAUGAGAUGCUGUACUAGCAUUGCUGACACUAACAUCAACGUACACACCCGACACGUAAUUUGGUGUCGUGAUCAGACAAACACGUCGGGAGUUCACGUGAUUUGGACAUCUAGCUCUAAGACUAUCACGAUUGGGAUCACUAAAUCACUGACGUUGCUACGAAACUGCAAAUAAAAAAAAAAAAAAAAAAAAAAAAAAAAAAGAAA